CAUUCCCGGGCUGUCUGUGAGGAGAGGGGCGUGUGUUGAGGCAACCGAGCAGCGUGGGGCGUCGGAGUUAUGUGCAUGCGGUGCUUAAACCAGAGGCCGUUCUGUGUGCUACGCCGUGGCGGCACGGCAGGUGUUAGGGCCGUGGCACCCCCCCCUCCGUGAGCACCCUCCCGGCGCCGCAUCGGGCCUCUGACGCUCUUCGGCCGGGCAGCAGCCGCUGUGCAACACUGACCCCUGCAGCCUGCCGCAGCGCCCUGCUCGCCCGCCGGCCUGCCUUGGAAGCCGGGCUCUUGUCGCCCACGGCCUGCUGGAAGGGAUCACCGCACAGCGCCGAAGGAAAUACCCAAGAAUUCAAUCGCUGACCAACUUUGCAUUGGGAAAUGGCUUCCUGAGAGACAACACAUUUGAAAUAAGCACUGCAGUGGGCUGUGGCGUCCACAGGGGCCCUGGAGCAUUUGGAUGCAUUAAGAAGCUGUUUGUGUCCUCCUGGCCAAAAUGAUGGGUCCCUGGAAGCAGCAGGUAACAAGGCAGGGUUUUUCAUCUCGCUGUUUAUUUACCUUCACCACGUGAUACUUGGUUUGCUUUUAAAAUGCUUCUGCUGUGGCUGCCCUUUGGCUGACUUAGGACGAGGGGGAUGCUGGGGGAGGCUGUCUGGCAGAAGCCAGAGGUAGGCGGGAGAAGGUGGAGUUGAGGGCAGCGGCGCCAUUCAUCCCUCUUCCAUUUUGCCCUUCACUCGCCUCCUCCUGGAUGCUGAUGAGCUCCUUCUUCCUCCCCUUCCCCCCAUCCUCCACCGCUUCAGCACAACCUGGGCAGCUUGAAAGGGAACAGAAAGACGCAGUUAAUGGCUUUUCUUCAUGGUGAAAACAGAAGCAGCCUAAAUAGAGAAUGUGACAGGGGCAAGAUGAGAGUUUCUGCUUUUCAUUCACAUCCCCUCCCGGCGUGCUUUGUUAUUCUCACCUAGCAAAUGGCCAUCCCCUCAGUGAACGUUAGGCGUAAUGUGGUGACUACUAUAGGGAAAUGUGCAAACAGCACAGUGACACAGCUUCAGUGUUCCUCAGAACUGUGGGCUUCUCCCUGUUCCAGAGAAAGGCUGCACUUCCAACUCCUUCCAGGCUUCCACCCAGUAUUUGCCACCAGCACAAUUCAUUGAAAGUGAAGUGCCCUCACAAUUUGCUGAACUGGUGACACUACUGUUAGCGCAGUCUUCAGUGACACAGGUUCAUCAGGAGUAAUGGCUGCAGAAACAUUUAGCGAGACACAGAGCCUGCAGUCUGAUAAAGUCAUCCCUUUGGGCCACAGGUCACUUACACAGGAGCAGCAUGAGGGACACAAAAAGGAUCUGCAAAGCAGUACUUUUUCCAGUUUUAUUCCUCCCUUAGCUCUGUGUUUGGAAGGCAGCAAUGCCUUACUUAGUAUUUGGGAAAAAAAAAGAGGGAGUCCUAUCAUCCAGGACAUUCCAGGAGUGGGAGGA